GCUGGUGUCAGUGAUGACUACUUUUUUUUCCCCAGCAGAUCGACCAUGUUGACUGUCUUCUGUUUAAGCCAAACUUUUCUGAUACACCACC
ensembl:snoRNA small nucleolar SNORD12/SNORD106